AGUGAACGCUGGCGGUAGGCCUAACACAUGCAAGUCGAACGGCAGCACAGUAAGAGCUUGCUCUUACGGGUGGCGAGUGGCGGACGGGUGAGGAAUACAUCGGAAUCUACUUUUUCGUGGGGGAUAACGUAGGGAAACUUACGCUAAUACCGCAUACGACCUACGGGUGAAAGCAGGGGAUCUUCGGACCUUGCGCGAUUGAAUGAGCCGAUGUCGGAUUAGCUAGUUGGCGGGGUAAAGGCCCACCAAGGCGACGAUCCGUAGCUGGUCUGAGAGGAUGAUCAGCCCCGCUGGAACUGGGGCCCGGCCCAGACCCCGAGGGGAGGCAGGAGGGGGGAAUAUUGGACAAGGGGCGGAAGCCUGUUCCAGCCAUCCCGCGUGGGUGAAGAAGGCCUUCGGGUUGUAAAGCCCUUUUGUUGGGAAAGAAAAGCGGCAGGUUAAUACCCCGCUGUUCUGACGGAACCCAAAAAAAAAGCCCCGGCUAACUUCAU
rnacentral:rRNA from 1 species